rnacentral:rRNA from 1 species
CCCGCUGAACUUAAGCAUAUCAAUAAGCGGAGGAAAAGAAACUAACAAGGAUUCCCCUAGUAACUGCGAGUGAAGCGGGAAAAGCUCAAAUUUAAAAUCUGGCGGUCUUUCGGCCGUCCGAGUUGUAAUCUGGAGAAGCGUUUAUCCGCGUUGGACCGUGUACAAGUCUUCUGGAAGGGAGCGUCAUAGAGGGUGAGAAUCCCGUCUUUGACACGGACUACCAAUGCUUUUGUGAUGCGCUCUCGAAGAGUCGAGUUGUUUGGGAAUGCAGCUCAAAAUGGGUGGUAAAUUCCAUCUAAAGCUAAAUAUUGGCGAGAGACCGAUAGCGAACAAGUACCGUGAGGGAAAGAUGAAAAGCACUUUGAAAAGAGGGUUAAACAGCACGUGAAAUUGUUGAAAGGGAAGCGCUUGCGACCAGACGUGCGCCGGGGUGCUCAGCGGGCGUUCUCGCCCGUGCACUCGCCCCGGCGCAGGCCAGCGUCGGUUUGGGUGGGGGGAUAAAGGCGUCUGGAAUGUGGCUCCUCCGGGAGUGUUAUAGCCAGGCGUGCCAUGCCUCCGCCUAGACCGAGGUACGCGUUCUGCAAGGACGCUGGCGUAAUGGUCUCCAGCGACCCGUCUUGAAACACGG